CGGGUCAUAAGUUAAUUUAAACUAUCAGUCUUCAAAACUGGAAAUACUAUUAUUUGUUGACCUGA
rnacentral:tRNA from 1 species